CUGGCUCAGAGCGAACGCUGGCGGCAGGCUUAACACAUGCAAGUCGAGCGGGCCCUUCGGGGUCAGCGGCGGACGGGUGAGUAACGCGUGGGAACGUGCCUUCUGGUUCGGAAUAACUCAGGGAAACUUGAGCUAAUACCGGAUACGCCCUUUUGGGGAAAGGUUUACUGCCGGAAGAUCGGCCCGCGUCUGAUUAGCUAGUUGGUGGGGUAACGGCCUACCAAGGCGACGAUCAGUAGCUGGUCUGAGAGGAUGAUCAGCCACACUGGGACUGAGACACGGCCCAGACUCCUACGGGAGGCAGCAGUGGGGAAUAUUGGACAAUGGGCGCAAGCCUGAUCCAGCCAUGCCGCGUGAGUGAUGAAGGCCUUAGGGUUGUAAAGCUCUUUUAUCCGGGACGAUAAUGACGGUACCGGAGGAAUAAGCCCCGGCUAACUUCGUGCCAGCCGCCGC
rnacentral:rRNA from 1 species